AAAACCUGCAGCAGUGUAUGUUAUUUCCGCAAAAAUAAGGUGUAAUUAGUCUCAAAGUGUUCUUAAUAAUGGUAUUGUUAUCUAUUUAUAUUUAGAUUUUCAGUAGCUUUUCUACAUGUUGCGUUAGCUUAGACCCACUUCUGAAUGCAUCACUAUUACAUCUUAAUCUCAUCCGCUCGUGGAGAGAAAUCUGAAAUUUCCGUCGUCAUCUCAAGAAAUGGCGGGCGGAAAUCAGCCGGAAAAUGCUUGGAAAAGCGGCCGAGACUCGCAAGGGAAAUGAUGCAAGGAAUAUGCAGCUGACUCUUAGAUUUCAAGCCUUCCUGAACAUCGAUGACUUAUGAUGCUUCUGGCAAAUUGCCCAAAAAUAUUUGCUCGAAAUACUUUUUGGCGAAAAAUGUAUUAGACAUAUUUAUAUGAAGGAAUCAUAUAAAAUUACUGGAUACCA
rnacentral:lncRNA from 1 species